rnacentral:rRNA from 1 species
UACGUAGGGGGCAAGCGUUGUCCGGAUUCAUUGGGCGUAAAGAGCUCGUAGGCGGUUCGGUAAGUCGGGUGUGAAAUCUCCGUGCUCAACACGGAGCGGCCACCUGAUACUGCCGUGACUCGAGUCCGGUAGGGGAGUGUGGAAUUCCCGGUGUAGCGGUGAAAUGCGCAGAUAUCGGGAGGAACACCAGUAGCGAAGGCGACUUCCUGGCCUGUUCUUGACGCUGAGGCGCGAAAGCUAGGGUAGCAAACGGG